CAUAAUCUGGAUCAAAAGAAAAAACUCCUACAUAACCGCCCAUCCCACACCGAGUUCGCCACCACCGCAGCCCACCCUCUUUCCACUAACACCGCUGCCCUUACUCCGCCAGUGUCUUCCUCCUCCUUCGACGCUGUUCCCCGUCGCCCUAAGAUGGAAGUCGACAAAAUCGAUGUCGUCGCCCCGCCAUUGAAAUCGCUCAUAGAGUUUGAAUCUUCGACAACGAAACUACAAGCCCCUUUUUGCUUCCCGUAUUGAUCAGCAUUUUGUCUAUUGGGAGAAAAGCUCCAUCAAAUGGGUACAUUCCCUUCACCAACUCAAACAAAAAAGACCCUUUCGUCAAAUUAACAAAUACAC